rnacentral:rRNA from 1 species
GACAGAGGGUGCAAACGUUGUUCGGAUUUACUGGGCGUAAAGCGCGUGUAGGCGGCUUGGCAAGUUGAAUGUGAAAGCCCACGGCUCAACCGUGGAAGCGCAUCCAAAACUGCUUCGCUCGAGUCUCGGAGAGGAAGGUGGAAUGCUUGGUGUAGAGGUGAAAUUCGUAGAUAUCAAGCAGAACACCUGCGGCGAAGGCGGCCUUCUGGACGAUGACUGACGCUGAGACGCGAAAGCGUGGGAGCAAACAGG